GACGAACGCUGGCGGCGUGCUUAACACAUGCAAGUCGAACGGAAAGGCCCUGCUUUUGUGGGGUGCUCGAGUGGCGAACGGGUGAGUAACACGUGAGUAACCUGCCCUUGACUUUGGGAUAACUUCAGGAAACUGGGGCUAAUACCGGAUCGGAGCUCCUGCUGCAUGGUGGGGGUUGGAAAGUUUCGGCGGUUGGGGAUGGACUCGCGGCUUAUCAGCUUGUUGGUGGGGUAGUGGCUUACCAAGGCUUUGACGGGUAGCCGGCCUGAGAGGGUGACCGGCCACAUUGGGACUGGGAUACGGCCCAGACUCCUACGGGAGGCAGCAGGGGGGAAUAUUGCACAAUGGGCGGAAGCCUGAGGCAGCAACGCCGCGGGCGGGAUGACGGCCUUCGGGUUGUAAACCGCUUUCGCCUGGGACGAAGCGUGAGUGACGGUAAUGGGUAAAGAAGCACCGGCUAACUACGUG
rnacentral:rRNA from 1 species